UACAGAGGUCCCAAGCGUUGUUCGGAUUCAUUGGGCGUAAAGGGUGCGUAGGUGGCGCUGUAAGUGGGGUGUGAAAUCCCGGGGCUUAACCCCGGGACUGCAUUCCAUACUGCAGUGCUUGAGGACUGGAGAGGAGACUGGAAUUUACGGUGUAGCAGUGAAAUGCGUAGAGAUCGUAAGGAAGACCAGUGGCGAAGGCGGGUCUCUGGACAGCUCCUGACACUGAGGCACGAAGGCCAGGGGAGCAAACGGG
rnacentral:rRNA from 1 species